GUGGAGUCACCUGCCCCUGACUCUGGAAUAACCGUGGGAAACGACGGCUAAUACCGGAUAUGAGACGUCCACGCAUGUGAGCGUCUGGAAAGAUUUAUCGGUCUGGGAUGGACUCGCGGCCUAUCAGCUUGUUGGUGGGGUAAUGGCCCACCAAGGCGACGACGGGUAGCCGGCCUGAGAGGGCGACCGGCCACACUGGGACUGAGAUACGGCCCAGACUCCUACGGGAGGCAGCAGUGGGGAAUAUUGCACAAUGGGCGCAACUGGAUGCAGCGACGCCGCGUGGGGGAUGAAGGCCUUCGGGUUGUAAACCCUUUCAGCAGGGAAGAAGCGAAAGUGACGGUACCUGCAGAAGAAGCGCCGGCUAACUACGUGCCAGCAGCCGCGGUAAUACGUAGGGCGCAACUUUGUCCGGAAUUAUUGGGGCUUAAAGAGCUCGUAGGCGGUUUGUCGCGUCUGCUGUGAAAACCCGAGGCUCAACCUCGGGCUUGCAGUGGGUACGGGCAGACUAGAGUGCGGUAGGGGUGACUGGAAUUCCUGGUGUAGCGGUGGAAUGCGCAGAUAUCAGGGAGGAACACCGAUAGCGAAAGCAAGUCACUGGGCCGCCACUGACGCUGAGGAGCGGAAGCAUUGGGAGCGGACACGAGUUAGAUACCCUGGUAGUCCAUGCCGUAAACGUUGGGCACUAGGUGUUGGGCUCAUUCCACGAGUUCCGUGCCGCAGCAAACGCAUUAAGUGCCCGCCUGGGAGUACGGCGCAAGCUAAAACUCAAAGAAUUGACGGGGCCCGCACAAGCAGCAGAGCAUGCGGAUUAAUUCGAUGCAACGCGAAGAACCUUACCAAGGCUUGACAUACACCGGAAAAGUGCAGAGAUGUGCUCCCCGCAAGGUCGGGUGUACAGGUGGUGCAUGGUUGUCGUCAGCUCGUGUCGUGAGAUGUUGGGUUAAGUCCCGCAACGAGCGCAACCCUCGUCCUAUGUUGCCAGCACGUUAUGGUGGGGACUCAUAGGAGACUGCCGGGGUCAACUCGGAGGAAGGUGGGGAUGACGUCAAAUCAUCAUGCCCCUUAUGUCUUGGGCUUCACGCAUGCUACAAUGGCCGGUACAAAGGGCUGCGAUACCGCAAGGUGGAGCGAAUCCCAAAAAGCCGGUCUCAGUUCGGAUUGGGGUCUGCAACUCGACCCCAUGAAGUCGGAGUCGCUAGUAAUCGCAGAUCAGCAACGCUGCGGUGAAUACGUUCCCGGGCCUUGUACAC
rnacentral:rRNA from 1 species